ensembl:lncRNA
UUUUUUUUUUUUUUCUGAGAAACAAGGCAAAGAGAAUACAGUGGAAAGACAUCUUUAUUUUUGGGGAGAAAAUAACUGUCAACCUAGAAUUCUACAUCCAGUGAAAUUAUAUUCCAAGUGGAGAUAUAAAGGUCUUUUUAAACAAAUAUGAACAGGGAACACUUAUUAUGAUUAGAUUCACUCUAAAGAAAAUGUUAAGGAAUGUUCUCCAGGAAGAAGAAAUGUGAUAGCCAGACAGAAACUUGAAUCUACACAAAGCAAUAAAGAGAUGUGGAAAGGAUAUAAAUAAUAAUACAUAUUAAGUUCAUAUUUUCUUACCUGUAAUUUCUAUAAAUGACAACUACUAAAACCAAAGUAGCACUGAUGCACUUUGGUUUUCCUGCAUAUGUACAAAUAAAAGCAUAAAAAUAUCAAAUAAUAUAAUUACCAAACAGAUUCUUUUAUUUGCAAGUUCUAUACUCUGAAAUAUAUAAAACAUUGAUGAAAGAAAUUAAAGUAGCCUCUUAAAAUGGAGAAUUAUACCAUGUUCAUAGAUUGGAAGACUCAGUAUAAUUAAGAAGUCAGUUCUUCCCAAACUAAUUUAUAGAUUCAGAAUAAUCCCAGUAAAAUUCCCAGCAGAAUAUUUUGUAGGAAUUGACAAUAAUGGAAAGCAAAGCAUGCUAAAUUUUGAGAAAGGAUAAAGUGGGAAGAUGUAUGGUACCCAAUCUUAAGCCUUAUAAUAAAGGCACAGUAAUCAAGACAGAAUGGUACUGGAAAAAGUAUAGGCUAAAUAGGGCAGAAUUAAGAGCACGGAAACAGACCCAAGCAUACCUGGUCAGUCAGUUUUCAAGAAUGUUUCAAAGGCAAUUUAAUGAAGGAAGAAUAUUCUUCGCAAUGAAAUCAAGCACAUACUGAGAAAAAACAUAUUUGCAAACUGUCUAUGUGAGGAUGAAUUUGUAUCCAGAAUAUUAUAAAGAACGCUAAAAAUUCACUAAGAAGAAAGCAAAUAACCCAAUAAAAAUGGACAGAAGAUUUUAACAGACGUUUUAUCGGAGCUAUAGGGAUGGUAAAAAGUCACCCGAAGAGAUGAUCAACAUUCUCGGUCACUAGAUAAAUUCCAGCUGAAGCCGGAAUGGGAAGCCACUGUCCUCCCACUGGAAUUUUAACUAAAAUUAAAAAAUGAAUAAUACCAAGGAUGUGGGGCAAAUGAAACUCAUGCAUAUCUCUGGUGAGAAGGAAAAAUAUUGCAGUCACUCUGAAAAAUGCUGUAGUUGUUUCUACAAAAUGCAACAUACACUUCUGAAAAGAGCUUGUAACCUCUCUCUUCAUGUAUUUAUCCAAGUGAAAUAAAAAACCUAUGUUCACACAAAAACUUGUCGGUGAAUGCUUAGACUGAUUUUAUUCAUAAUUGCCACAAAGUGGAAACAGUCACUGUGUCACUCAACUGUAUGUCAUUCAUACGCUGGAGUGAAACUAAACAAUAAAAAGGGGCCAACGACUGACAUCCUCAACGAGAGAGAUGACUCUAAAAUGCAUCCUUUUAAGUGGAAGGAGCCGGAUGCCAAAGACUACGUCCUGUAUGUUUUAUACGAUCUUUCGGAGAAAAUGAAAUUAAAGGGAGAAAAAAACCAGAUGAGUGAGAGGCAUGGGCUGCGGGUCUGAGGAGGUCGUCCAAUGACGGGGAAUAGUGGGGCUGCCACUCGGGGGCAGCGGAGCCGUUCUCGAUCUUCCUGGAGCUGGUGAUGACGUGAUGGCAUGUUUUCAUCAAAACCUUCUGAACGUACACAUCAAAGAGCAGAUGUGCUAUGUCUAAAUUAUCCCUAAAUUUCAAAAAAUGACCAAAAAGUGCCACUGUACGGAGCACAAAAUAGAGGUUCUGUAAAUCACAAUUGAUUGAAUGAAUUGUUUUGUAUAUGUACACACCUGAUACAUCAUGGACCCAUCUUGCUGAACAGUACUGGCUUUACUAUAUCUAUACACUUUCUUUCAACAUACGACAAGUAAUAGCUCUUAGUUCAUUAACGCUCACUAUAGGAAGGAACGCAUCCACAUAAGUUAUGUAUCAGUUACUUUGUAGGUGUUGAGAUGGAUAUAAAGGUAAGCAAGAGAGAUACACUUCCUAAUAUUCUUGCAGUGAGAAUCUCUCACUGGGGUUAGCUGUUAGUCAAAUAGCCAUGCAAACAAAUGAUUACAAGUGCUAUGAUGAUAAGUGACUUGGUAUUGUCAGAGCUGAUAAAUAGUGGGGACUUACCUAUUCUGGAGGAUUAGAGACAGCACCCCAGAAGACGUCAAGUUUGAACUGAGAUCUGGAGCACGGAAGAAUAAGUGUGAACUUGAAAAACAAGGAGAAAGGAAAGUAGUCAAGGCUAAAGCAGCAGUAUCUUCAAAGGCCUUGUGGUAAAAACGACUGUGUUCAGGUGGAGGACUGAUAGGAAAAUCAGUGUGCUGCCCUGCACAAUGAAUGGGGACGGGGCAAAAGGCUGGCUAAAGGCACAGCAAAGACUCAUUGGCUGUGGGUGAUUUUAAGUAUGCAGGUCUUUAUCUUAAUAAUUGGAAGGUUUUAAGUGGAAGGAAGAGAUGUAAGUGAGUGGGUAGGUGAUAGGAAAAAUUUCAGAGGUGCGUUUUUAAAAGAUCACUCUGCUGACAUGCAGAGAAUCUCUGACUAAACCAGUAGCUGUGAUGAAAGAUUAUGGUCAUUUGGACAAGCCGUCUAGCAGGGGACGUGAGCAGAAUGGCAUAGGUGCCCUACAUGUGUGACAUGCAGGAUGUAAAGUCUACAGAGCCUGGUGAUGAACUAAGCAGAGAGUGAGGGAAAGAAAGUCUUUCCUGGAGAUUUUCAGGUUUCACUUUCCAAAUCAGAGGGCUGUUGGUGCCAUUCACCAAAACACCAGUCACUUGAUCGGAGCCCAUCUUUUGUCAAGAAAGAUCGAGGGCUGUUGGUGCCAUUCACCAAAACACCAGUCACUUGAUUGAAGCCCAUCUUUGUCAAGAAAGAUCAUGGCUUCAUGAAUUUAUACAUUCAUCACAAAAUGGUUAUUGAGCACCAUAUACCAGAAACGGCUCUAUAUGAUUAAAAAAGACAAAAUUCUUAUUCUAUUAAAAUUCUUCUCAGAUUUGACUACCUCCCCACUUACUUUCCAAAAAAAUAUCAUUUAAGCCCAUGAUUAAAUUAUUGUAUGGUAAUGAAUUUGUAGCCAAAGUAGAUCUACUUUCCUUUAAAAAAAGGUACAAUUUACUGAAGUUCUACAAAAUGUAAGACAACAACCAUCCUUUUCAGCUUUGAACAAUUGUGUAACCUAAAUAAUGCCUUAUGUACAGCCUAAUUCAACUGGGUCUGGAUCAACUUCAAUGAAAAUGGAACAUAAUUGCAUGGCGGUUUCAUUUAUUUAAGCACAUAUACUACAUGUUAUUAUUCAACAGGGACUGAAGUUUUAAUCCAUGAUAUAUUAUAAAUAUCAAAGAAUCCUGUUUGUAGACAAUUUCAGAUUAAGGACUUACAGGAUAAUACAGAAGUAACCUGGCAUCUUUUUUUCCACCCACUGUUUCUUCAGCUCUGUCUUUAACAACUUUCUCACUCCUUUCAACCUCAUCGCCUCAAACACAGUCGAGUUUAGGAAGCUGCUACAGCUGGAGGUAUGUCCUGUCUCUUAUCACAUCUUAUGUCACCUUACCUCCAGUUGAAAACAAGGAGAUAUAUAGAUACAGAGAUUGAGACAGUUACAGAUGAAAAGCUUAUAUUAUAUGUGCAUACUAUUGCACACAGAGGGUAUGAUAUUAAUUACAAAGAUUGUAUUGACAGACAUAAGCUAGGUCACCUUUAUCGGGGGGGGGUACUAGGAGAAACGGAGAGAGGGAGAAAAUGUCCCCUCUACCAGCAUUGAUUGCAUGCCCACGGAUUUGCACAUUAUCUCUGAAGUUUUCUCUCCCUCUGACUUAACUUCCAGCUACUAGUUCACUGUAGUAUUCUGUUCCCUAAACCCGAGACCAGAAGAUGGGCCAUUUUUUGUUUAACUGAUCUUUAUAAACAAUUAUGUCUCUAGAGAAAACUGGACUGUGUAAAACACAGUUAGUAGGAACUAAGUUGUUGCUGAGGACAACUGUAGGAGGAGAACGUAUGUGCCACACAGACACCCAAAAUAGGAGCUGCAAAACCGACCAGCAGGUUCCCUCAAAAUGCCAGCACGACCACAUCCUUGACUCUCACCUCACCUGUAUCCACACAAAUCUCCUCACUCAGGCCUCCUAUAGUCCGUGACCCUACAGAGCCUGUUCACCAAGUAAACUAAGGGAAAGAGCAGAGUGAAUGUGACACAGGUACCAUGAUGGGGGCUUUUGCCAGAACAAGUGAGUGGAAGAGCAAGAAGAGAUUUGAGUUAUGAGUCUUAUAUGCCUGUACCUUUUAAAACCCUCUAACAAUGGCUAGUUUUACUUAUAAAGGUGAUUUUCAUUUCAAAAUUAUACUGCUUGAUGCCAGUACUGCUUCAUCAUCAUGGCGAUGACGUAUCAACCAGACUUAGGAAAAUCCUGAUUCAAAGAAGCUAAGGAAAAAAAUACACAUAUUCACAAGACAGUCUGAAAAUUUGAAUUUGAACCAACUAGAUACUUGAUAAUAAGAAUUAUUACUAUGUUGGGGAUGUGAUAAUAAUUUAUGUUUAUAAAAUAAUCCUUUCAUUUUAGAGAUCAUAUUGAACAACUGGAAGAUGAAAAGUAAUGUCUAGGAUUUGCUUCCAAACAAUCCAGAGGGUGGAAGUGGAUGCAAAUUGGAUGAAACAAGAUUGACCUUGCGUGUUUAAUCACUGAAGCUGGGUGAUGGGUUUACAAGCAUACAUUACACUAUUCUUUAUAUAGAUUUGAAUUUUUCUUCUUUUUUUCUUUCCUUUUCUUUUUUUUUUUUUUUUUUGGCUUUUUAGGGCUGCACC